UCACACUGGAACUGAGAUACGGUCCAGACUCCUACGGGAGGCAGCAGCUAAGAAUCUUCCGCAAUGGGCGAAAGCCUGACGGAGCGACACUGCGUGAACGAAGAAGGUCGAAAGAUUGUAAAGUUCUUUUAUAAGUGAGGAAUAAGCUUUGUAGGAAAUGACAAAGCGAUGACGUUAAUUUAUGAAUAAGCCCCGGCUAAUUACGUGCCAGCAGCCGCGGUAAUACGUAAGGGGCGAGCGUUGUUCGGGAUCAUUGGGCGUAAAGGGUGAGUAGGCGGAUAUGCAAGUCUAUGUGUAAAAUACCACAGCUCAACUGUGGAACUAUGCUGGAAACUGCAUGACUAGAGUCUG
rnacentral:rRNA from 1 species